AAAAACCUAAAUCUAAAAAUUUUCAUCUAAAAUUGCUGAGGAAAGGGAGAGCGCCGUUUCCUGUUUCCCAUCCUCUGUCGCCUGCUCAGCCCUUCAGAACCCCAUUUGCUCUGAUUGCGACGAGAGAAACAGGGAUCCAACCGUCACAUGAUGAAGGUAAAUCUCUAUUGUUUCCUUAUUUUGUAUAGAAAAUAGAAAAAAAAUCAAAGAAAACAGUAGAGAAACGCAAAAAGAAAAAAAAAGUAAAAAUAAUUAAUCAACUCCUUUCAACUGUUAAUCGUUCUCUUUUUGUUAUUUCUUUUUUUCAAAUCGGGAUCCCCGAAACAAUACAGAAAAUGGGGUUUUAUAGCCCCAAAAAUACAUCAAUCUUUCUUCUUUUUCUCCUAUUUUCUCUUUGUGCUAUUUUGUUAUUUUCUUUUCUUCUUUUUUUGUUCUUUUGUGUGCUGCAUUGUCUUCGUUUCAUUUGCAGGUACAGUGUACGGAGGCGCGUGGCGUGGAUGUGGUGGCGCACGUGCAAGGGCAGAGCCUGAUUGCGGCGCGAGGGCUUGCUGCAAGCUGCUAGGGUUUUCUGAUUUUGCUUUAGGCUAAUUGAGCUAGGGUAUUGGGCCAUAUUGAUUUUGGGUUUGAUUUUGGGCUGGUAAUUUGGGUUAUUGUAAUUGAGUUAUUUUUGGACUCGGGUUUGAUAUAAUUUGGGUUAUUGGGCUAGGGUGUAUUGGGCUCGGUGAGUCUGAUAGGUUUAGUAUUUGGGUUAAGGACUGAAUUGGGCUUUGAAUCUGUAAGUGGACAUUUAUUUAAUUGAAUUUUUGGUUUAAUUUUAAUAUUUAUAAAAAACUAGGCUGUUAAUAGUGGAUAUUUUAAUUUACUUUAUUUUUUGGUAUUUAUUGGGCCGGGCAAAAUGGGUUAUUACACUUACCAUUGGUUGGGUUUUGCCCAAUUCAGUAAGGGUUUUUUGCCUCCCAACUUUAAGCCCAUGGAAUGAAGGAGAUGAGCUUUUGGUUGAU
rnacentral:lncRNA from 1 species